CUUCUACCCCGCCUCCUGUGCGACCCAAGCCGCCAUUUGAGAGCAGGGGAAGCCGGAGCGGGUGGGUGACCCUGGUUCUACGUGGCUGGUGCGGAGGUCCUGUAGAUCCUCCCCUUAGGCGGCGGGGGAAAUCUGUUAGCAAUGGGCAAGCUUCCGCCCGCCCAGUUCCCAGAAACCCAAUAGGAACUACAUGCCAUGCUUUGCAGAGACCCCCACCAGCAUGCUCCAGACCACUGUGGAUACCUGAAGGACCCUGAAACAAAGACCUCUGCCUUGAACAGCAGGAAGGAGGGAGAUGUGGUGAAGGAUUCCAGUCAUGGAAGCCAGGAGCUAUUUGAGACUGCCACAGUCUAUCCAGUGUCACCAGUCAAAUGUGGAUGAGCCUGAUGAAGGGGAAGGGAACUUGGAGGUAUUAAUGGGCCACUCAGCAGUUCUGGCUGGGGGCCCUACCACUACCCCAUCCCUGUCCAUGGACACUUGCAAGAGGGGAGUCUCAUGCAACGGGGAUGAGGAUUUUGGGGAUGAGGAAGAUGAGGAGGAGAAUAGUGCACAGCAAGCAAGCGGAGAAACCAUUCUCCCCGAUUGCCAGUAACUGUUUAUCACCCUGGAGCCAAUACCCUCCCAACCCUCCCAAAGUGGGCUCACGGACCAUGAAG